rnacentral:rRNA from 1 species
CGCAGCAGGCGCGAAAACUUUACAAUGCAGGAAACUGUGAUAAGGGGACUCCGAGUGCCGGUAUACGCGGGCUGUCCAGGUGUUUAAAACUCAUCUGAAGAAAGGGCCGGGCAAGACCG